GGAGGAGUGGCUGAGUGGUCGAAAGCGGCGGUCUUGAAAACCGUUGUGCCGCAAGGUACCGUGGGUUCGAAUCCUACCUCCUCCG
rnacentral:tRNA from 2 species